UACAGAGGUGGCAAGCGUUGUUCGGAAUUACUGGGCGUAAAGGGCGCGUAGGCGGUUCGUUAAGUCCUGUGUGAAAUCCCCCGGCUCAACUGGGGAACUGCACAGGAAACUAGCGGGCUUGAGUUCGGGAGAGGGAAGCGGAAUUCCGGGUGUAGCGGUGAAAUGCGUAGAUAUCCGGAAGGAACACCGGUGGCGAAGGCAGCCUUCUGGGCCAACACGUGACGCUCAUGCACGAAAGCGUGGGGAGCAAACAGG
rnacentral:rRNA from 1 species